GCCUUGAGGACUUGGGAUUGAAUUCUGUCAGAAACUCAAGCAUGGAAUUUGAGUUUUCAGUGCUUCAGUUUUGUGAUCUGGGAAAUGAUUGAUGCUGCACACAGGCACUGAUGUCCUUGAGUCACUAGCCCCUUCUUGUCAUGCUAGGGGUCAUAGACUGCCAAAGAACCUUUUAAAAAUUUAAUUCCUUUUAAAAAAGAACUUUUAAAAGUGCAAUUUUUUGUGAGAAUUAAACUGUUAAUGGGCACAACCUAGAA